ensembl:lncRNA
AUGCCAGCACUAAUCAGUAGAGGACAAUUAAAAGUAACAUUACAACAACAGUCCAUGGCAGUGGAGAGUGAGAACAAGAACGAAGUAAAGAUACCGUGGUUGACUAAGGAGACUGGCCAGAGGGGGCCACCUUGGGUCCCUGCGUCUAGUUCCUGUACCAGCACCACCGGACAGAUCCCUCUACUGGAAGACAAGCCGGUGAAGAAAGCGCAGCUAGAGACAGCGGUUUCAGCUUCCCGGCGCAAUGGAGGAGGGAUCAGAUCUGCCCAGCUUGUCAGGGAUCAACGGCACCUAGGAGGCAGAGAGGUUCCCCAGCACCAGCAAUCUGAAACGACUGUCCCUCAAUGGCAAGCUCCACACUGCCGAGCCCCCACCAUCUCAGCUGUCACACAUCGCUGGUUAUCUCAGCCUGCCCACCAGGACACAGCCCGUCCCAUCACUGUUCAUCAUCAGUCCAUCGUGUUCAGCUUGGAUCACACAUGUGCCAGAGGAAGUUUCCCAGGAUUCCACAGUUCAGGAGACAGGUCUUCAGCUGCAAGCCUUCAGCUACGGCCCCGGGUGUUCCCAGAGUUCACAGCAACACGAGGGUUACUGCCUUCCACUGCCCUCGGCACCUCUGCCAGCUCUGCUCGAAGAGAGAAGCACAAACCUCCAUUUAGGAUUCCAUUUAAACAAGCCACCAUUGAUUAUUAUGUCCCCAGACCUUCAACUAGCAACACGGACCGUUUGGAAAGUAACAAAAAGAGACAGGAAAGAGACACAAAAAAUACAUAAAGUGAGAUUCUGCUUUAGUCUAAUGAGUGCUCCUUUGGUUUAUGUAUGAAGUAUAUAAGUUAUGAAUAUUUUAUUUUGACUUUUUUUGACCCAACGGUGACAUGAAUGGGCUGCUAGCUGUACAGUGUAUGUUACAGAACUUAAGUUUAUGAAAAAGUGCAUGCAAAAUCCACUUUUUUUUUCAUACCAAAGAGGGUAUGGCUAGAAUAUAGAUGCAAUAGUUAUAGAUGCUGCAAGAUUACUGUAUAUUCAAUGUGAUACUAUCAUUUUAUUUGACUUAAUGAAGGAAAAAGAAAAAAUAUCUCCUCCAAAGGAAGCUGGUUACUCCUGCAGGAGAACUGUCAGUAGUCUUCAUUGUUACACUUUUACCUGAGUUUCCUAACAUGACUAUUCGUAUAAUAGAUGGUGUUCAUCAAAAAAAAAAAAAAAAAACGUUAUUUUACUUCUAGAGGUCAAUUUUAAGGUAUUUGUGUCAUUAGGCUAACUCAUUUUAAUCAGUGUAAACUUGACACCUCCACAACACAUGCAAUCUGCAUAUUGCAGUUUUUCAUUCAUUGUUAUUAAAAAUAUUUUCAAACUAUUGAAACUAUCAUAGUUACUAUGCAUUUUUAAAUAUUACAGACAGAGAGCAUAAUUUCAAUCAAUAUACCAUUUCGUGAAGUGCUCAAGAGUACUGAAUAGUUAUGGAAGGCAUAGUACACACACACACAUUUUCUGAACCGCUUGUCCCAUACGGGGUCACGGGGAACUGAAGCCUAAUCCGGCAACUCAGGGCGUAAGGCCGGAGGGGGGAGGGGACACACCCGGGACGGGACGCCAGUCCAUCGCAAGGCACCCCAAGCGGGACUCGAACCCCAGACCCACUGGAGAGCAGGACCUGGUCCAACCCACUGCACCACCGCGCCCCCUGCUGGAAGGCAUAGUAGUUUUUUUUUUUUUUAUGUACAUUAUCAUUCUAACCUAUUAUGGACUAUGUUGAAAAAUAAAAAUAUCCAGCUAUGUAUAAUAUUUACUAGC